rnacentral:rRNA from 1 species
AGUGAACGCUGGCGGUAGGCCUAACACAUGCAAGUCGAACGGCAGCACAGUAAGAUCUUGCUCUUACGGGUGGCGAGUGGCGGACGGGUGAGGAAUACAUCGGAAUCUACUUUUUCGUGGGGGAUAACGUAGGGAAACUUACGCUAAUACCGCAUACGACCUACGGGUGAAAGCAGGGGAGCUUCAGACCUUGCGCGAUUGAAUUAGCCGAUGUCGGAUUAGCUAGUUGGCGGGGUAAAGGCCCACCAAGGCGACGAUCCGUAGCUGGUCUGAGAGGAUGAUCAGCCACACUGGAACUGAGACACGGUCCAGACUCCUACGGGAGGCAGCAGUGGGGAAUAUUGGACAAUGGGCGCAAGCCUGAUCCAGCCAUACCGCGUGGGUGAAGAAGGCCUUCGGGUUGUAAAGCCCUUUUGUUGGGAAAGAAAAGCAGCAGGUUAAUACCCCGCUGUUCUGACGGUACCCAAAGAAUAAGCACCGGCUAACUUCGUG